GCAGACGCAAAAUGCAGCGUCUGAUGCGUGUAUGCUGGGGUGGCCUUUAAAAGGCAAAGCGCGGUACUUCCGCUCUCUCCUUCCUGUUUCCCACUUGCAUGGUCCACCACGCCUUUCCCUGUAAUAAAGUUACAAGUGGGUUCCUUUGUACCUCGUGGUUUCUUCCAUAUUCCGCAGAAAGAACAUCACUGGUGCCGCGACUCGACCUGGAGCCAAAAACCGGAGCUCAGGCUUCAGGCGCCUCCUGGGCCUCCGACUUCCUUCCGGGACGCGAACAGAACCGAGGACCUCCUCUACAAUGACCCAUGUGUUCUAUCUGCCUGGGCGAGCUCCUACGAACAACACUGGCUUCUAAUUUGUGGCUGGAUUCAAGGAGAUUUCUACAAGCAGAAACGGAUACCAUAGAAACCAAAGGCUAGCAACCAUGGAAGGUCUCUUAACUGCUCCAUAAUGGCGUCCUUCCCAUCCGUCGUCACCGGAAAGUCAGGAGCUGUGUAAGCAGCUCAGGAGGACCCGAGUAAGGCUUUCUGUGGUUUCAAGGCCUCUAAAACAUUUUCUAAGAAACACCACAUUUUGUAGUGAUUUAAUCCCUGGCUUUUCUUCCCUGACUACUUGUCCACCUGAUACUCAGUGCCGUACCCACUCCAUUCAUCAAAAACAGAGGUGUAGAGUUGAGCCUAAGGAGAGGAAAUUCAACUAACAGUUCUGUUUUGGCAUACUCACAAGCCAUGUCCCCCACUUCAUAUUUCUUUUUAUUGUGUAAAACAUUUUAUUCAUCUUGAAAGUUCAGAGGAAGGUAUGAUCAUUAUGUUUUUUUUAAAGUAAGGGUAUUCUACAACUUUAAUGACUUUUAAAUCAAUUUUUAAAUUCACUAAUGUAAUAAUGUUGAUACCAGAGUCAAUGCUUAUGCAUAAAAAAGGAGUAAUUCAACUCUUAAUCAUUAAUUUAUCUAAUCAAUUGAAACAUGAAAAGACAAGCUAGUUCUCUUUGAAACAACUAUCAUCUAUUGAUGACAUAUAUUCAUGAAAAAAGUUGCUUGCCAUUUAUCAAUGUCCCCCUUAAUUUUGUGUUUUCUAAACUCUCAUAUUUUAGGUCUCAACAUGUAUUUCAGAUAAUUACUUACUAAAUCAUCGUAAGUGCUUCCCCCUUUAUCUACUACUACUAAUUCCUCUUCUUAUUCUACUAUUCAUGCCAACUUGAAGCAACAUUAAAAUUAAAAAAUGUAUAAAAUGUUCAGCUACAUUAUACAUCCUUACAGGUAAUGUUUCCUGGUUUCUUAUGUAGAUGUCACUAAGAAAAAUA